GUGCUUGCUUGGGCAGCACAUAUACUAAAAUGUGAAUGAUACAGAGAAGAUUAGCAUGGCCCUUGCGCUAGGAUGACACACAAAUUCGUGAAACAUUCCAUAUUAUC
ensembl:snRNA U6 U6 spliceosomal RNA